CCAACUCAGCCCACUUUAAAAAUCUUGCUUCCUUAAGUAUGUUAAAUAACUGUUAGUUCGUAUCCAGUCGUCCUGGUACCGUGUAGUGGUAUGUGUCGUGGCUUGAUAUGCCAAAGGUCUUGCAUGAGUUGGAAUCCCAGCAUAUAGUCCAUAUACACUGGAUUUUUUCGACGUGAAUUUUGAUAGAUAUUCUUCUCCGUAUAAUUAAUUAAGUUUUAUAGUGGAUUUGACAUUCCUGCCAAAAUGUUACAGAACAAAGGAAAGCAUGCACAACAAAGAAACUCAAACUGGGGUGAUCUGGUAGGGGUGAUCCGUCUCAGAUCACCCCUGUUAGAACAAAGGAGCUGGGAUGUAAUCUUUUGGUAUUACAUAACACUUGUAUGCAAUAUUUCUGCAGAUACAGAUACAGAUAAAAAAAAAAUUGAAUCAGAUAAUGAUUGCCCCAUAUUGCAUGAAACUGGCAAAACUUCCAGUGAAUAAACUUAUAGACAGACUAGCUGAGGUUAACAAUUAUUAAUUAUUAAUUCUUUUAAUAACAAUAUUCUAAACAUGCUAAAUAGUAUAUCUGAUGAGUUAAUAUUUUUAAUUCUAAGUUGCUUAGUGAGUAGUUUCAAGUCAUGCACUAGUGAUUGUCUUCAUGGACCAAUGAGUUAGGUUUGUUAUAACCGUUUAGGUUUUACAAGUUUGGGUAUGACAACUCUCUCUUCUUUAUAAUGAUUGGUUCAUUAAGUCACAUGUCUUUUUUGGAGGGAAAUUCUAUUGUCUUGGUUAGAAUUUGCUUAUAUCUUGAACUGAGGGGUGCUGAUAUAGUUUGUACUCAUAUUUAAUGGACAUCUUUGAUUUUAUAAAUAAAAAAGAUAUUGAACCAGACUAAGAUUGUACAUGAUGUAGUACCACAAGGGUUCCAGAGUUUUGUUUAUACAGGGCAUUUGUACCUCAUACAAGUAUGUUGAGAGAAGUUCAGAACAAGCUAUUAUGUUUGAAGAGGAGUUGUCAGCACGUCAUCUUUGAAUAAAGUCAGUUGUAUUAGAAGUGAAGCAUAAACAGAAAUGAGACAUUUAACAAAUAAUUCAAAGACUACAUGGAUUUUAUCUGGACUAGCAUUUGUAUGACCCAAAUGUGGUAUUUUUCAUAUGAAGACUUACAAGGCAAUUAAUUUGCUGUGGCAAACAUGUGUAUAUAUUUGACAUGUUUAAAGACUUGAAGAACUUGGACUGCCUCCUUCAGGUUUCAGUAGAAUUGGU